rnacentral:tRNA from 1 species
GUUCCUGUAGCGCAAUGGAUAGCGCGUUGGGCUUCUACUCGAAAGGUCAUGGGUUCGAAUCCCAUCUGGAUGGCU